GGGGCUUUAGCUCAGCGGCAUGAGCACCUGCCUUGCAAGCAGGUGGUCGUGAGUUCGAUCCCUGGUACCA
rnacentral:tRNA from 1 species